rnacentral:rRNA from 1 species
AACGUAGGUGGCAAGCGUUAUCCGGAAUUACUGGGCGUAAAGGGUGUGCAGGCGGGGAAGCAAGGGGGGUAUGAAAUAUCCCAGCUUAACUGGGAGGGGUUAUGCCAGACUGCUUUUCUAGAGGACGAGAGAGGGGGGUGGAAUUCCGGGUGUAGUGGUGAAAUGCGUAGAGAUCCGGAGGAACCCCAGAGGCGAAGGCGGCCCCCUGGCUCGUACCUGACGCUCAGCCACGAAAGCAUGGGGAGCGAACGGG